rnacentral:rRNA from 1 species
GUUAUAUGGUCAAGUGAAGAAGCGCAUACGGUGGAUGCCUUGGCAGUCAGAGGCGAUGAAAGACGUGGUAGCCUGCGAAAAGCUUCGGGGAGUCGGCAAACAGACUUUGAUCCGGAGAUCUCUGAAUGGGGGAACCCACCUAGGAUAACCUAGGUAUCUUGUACUGA